rnacentral:rRNA from 1 species
AACGAACGCUGGCGGCAGGCCUAACACAUGCAAGUCGAACGCCGUAGCAAUACGGAGUGGCAGACGGGUGAGUAACGCGUGGGAACAUACCCCUCGGUUCGGAAUAAACUCAGGGAAACGUUGAGCUAAUACCGGAUACGUCCGAGGUUUUAAUUCGGCCUUGGAGAAAGAUUUAUCGCCGGAGGAUUGGCCCGCGUCUGAUUAGCUUGUUGGUGAGGUAAUGGCUCACCAAGGCGACGANCAGUAGCUGGUCUGAGAGGAUGAUCAGCCACAUUGGGAC